rnacentral:rRNA from 1 species
AGCGAACGCUGGCGGCAGGCUUAACACAUGCAAGUCGAGCGGCCGUAGCAAUACGGCAGCGGCAGACGGGAGAGUAACACGUGGGAACGUACCCUUCAGUACGGAACAACCAAGGGAAACUUUGGCUAAUACCGUAUACGUCCGUAAGGAGAAAGAUUUAUCGCUGAAGGAUCGGCCCGCGUCUGAUUAGCUAGUUGGUGAGGUAACGGCUCACCAAGGCGACGAUCAGUAGCUGGUCUGAGAGGAUGAUCAGCCUCACUGGGACUGAGACACGGCCCAGACUCCUACGGGAGGCAGCAGUGGGGAAUAUUGGACAAUGGGCGCAAGCCUGAUCCAGCCAUGCCGCGUGGAUGAUGAAGGCCCUAGGGUUGUAAAGUCCUUUUCACGGGGAAGAUAAUGACGGUACCCGUAGAAUAAGCCCCGGCUAACUUCGUGCCAGCCGCCGCCGUAAAAC